CUGUGUCAAGCAUUUACAAGACAAACAACGAAAAGUAAAACCGCAGUAUGCAGUUUGUCAGUGGCGGCCGUUUGAAGGCUUACAGCCGGAAAUCAAUUAACGAGGACGAAUUUACAGUGAAAAAGUAGGUUGCAGACGGUGCCAUGACAUGAGAUCAAAAAAAAAAAAAAAGACCAGUUAACGAACUUAUUUGCAUAUCUUUUUUUUUUCUUUUUUUUUAUUUAUUUUUUUUUUUCUUUUUUUUUUUAUUCUUUUCCUUAACGUUAACUACUACUGCUAUCUAUAAAUAUUAUCAGGUAUCCAUGAUUUAUGUCGAAAAAGCAAAACGAUAAAAAGUCAAACGUAAAGAAACCUAGAUUCGCAUUGGAAUAAUUCAAAAUACGACAUUUAAAAUCCAAAAGCGAUUUGUCAUUUCAAUUCAAUAACAAGAAGUGGAGAACUAAUCUCGAUCGAUUUUUUUCUCGACAAUUCAAAUGUGCUCGACGUUUCUCAAUGAAAUUUAUCGAAAACUCUCAUGAUCUAGAAUUGCGAUGAACAUUUAACUAGACGACUUAACCAAUAGGAUUUAUUAAGAUUAUGAAACUCUCGCAUUAUGUCUUAUUAGAGCUAUUAUUAUCAUUAUCGUAUCUAACGAUGAACGAGGAUGAUACUUAUUUGCACCGUGGGAAAUGCCAGAUGAUAGGCUUGAUAAGUGGGGAGGGGAGGCGGGGAACAAUAUGAGAGGAGGGACUCGUAUAUUUGAAUUUUGAUGAUAAAGGAUAAGAACAAAAGGAUAAGACGCGCGAACCGUAUAGCUUCGUACCGACCGAAUGGGAAAUCACUGGGUAUAAAUAGAGGAUGACUCGCGGUCUGGACUCGCCCGUUGGAUAUCGCUAGUCGAUGAUGAUCAUGAUGAUGAUGAUGUUGAUGAUCAUACCUCCUCGUGGGCCAAGUGUAUAUAUCGGAUAUAAACUUUUACGAGAUCGAUGCCUCCUCUCAACGAGAAAAUACUUCUAUCGUAAAAUAAUGAAAAAGAGAAAUAUUAAAGAAAGUCAAAUAAAAG